CUACGGGAGGCAGCAGUGGGGAAUAUUGCACAAUGGGCGAAAGCCUGAUGCAGCGACGCCGCGUGCGGGAUGACGGCCUUCGGGUUGUAAACCGCUUUCAGCAGGGAAGAAGCGCAAGUGACGGUACCUGCAGAAGAAGCACCGGCUAACUACGUGCCAGCAGCCGCGGUAAUACGUAGGGUGCGAGCGUUGUCCGGAAUUAUUGGGCGUAAAGAGCUUGUAGGCGGUUUGUCGCGUCUGCUGUGAAAUCCCAGGGCUUAACCCUGGGCCUGCAGUGGGUACGGGCAGACUAGAGUGCGGUAGGGGAGAUCGGAAUUCCUGGUGUAGCGGUGAAAUGCGCAGAUAUCAGGAGGAACACCGGUGGCGAAGGCGGAUCUCUGGGCCGUAACUGACGCUGAGGAGCGAAAGCAUGGGUAGCGAACAGGAUUAGAAACCCUGGUAGUCC
rnacentral:rRNA from 1 species